rnacentral:rRNA from 1 species
UGCCAGCCGCCGCGGUAACACGGGGGGCGCAAGCGUUAUUCGGAAUUAUUGGGCGUAAAGGGCGCGCAGGCGGUCUUGUCCGUCAGGUGUGAAAGCUCGGGGCUCAACCCCGGAAGUGCACUUGAAACAGCAAGACUUGAAUACGGUAGAGGAGAGAGGAAUUCCUGGUGUAGAGGUGAAAUUCGUAGAUAUCAGGAGGAACACCGGAGGCGAAGGCGACCCGCUGGAGCCAUUCUGACGCUGAGGCGCGAAGGCGUGGGUAGCGAACGGGAUUAGAUA